AAGCCGCCGCGGUAAUACCAGCCCCGCGAGUGGUCGGGACGGUUAUUGGGCCUAAAGCGUCCGUAGCCGGGUUGGUUAGUCUCCCGGGAAAUCUGGCCGCUUAACGGUCAGAAUUCCGGGAGAUACUGCCAGCCUAGGGACCGGGAGAGGCCGAGGGUAUUCCCGGAGUAGGGGUGAAAUCCUAUAAUCCCGGGAGGACCACCUGUGGCGAAGGCGCUCGGCUGGAACGGGUCCGACGGUGAGGCACGAAGGCCAGGGGAGCAAACCGGAUUAGAUACCCGGGUAGUCCUGGCUGUAAACGAUGCGGACUUUGUGUCGGACAAGCUAUGAGCUUGUCCGGUGCCGGAGGGAAACCGUUAAGUCCGCCGCCUGGGGAGUACGGCCGCAAGGCUGAAACUUAAAGGAAUUGGCGGG
rnacentral:rRNA from 1 species